rnacentral:rRNA from 1 species
CACGUAGGGGGCAAGCGUUGUCCGGAUUUAUUGGGCGUAAAGAGCUCGUAGGCGGUUCAGUAAGUCGGGUGUGAAACCUCCAGGCUCAACCUGGAGACGCCACCCGAUACUGCUGUGACUGGAGUCCGGUAGGGGAGCGUGGAAUUCCUGGUGUAGCGGUGAAAUGCGCAGAUAUCAGGAAGAACACCGGUGGCGAAGGCGGCUCUCUGGGCCUUACCUGACGCUGAGGAGCGAAAGCGUGGGUAGCGAACAGG